rnacentral:rRNA from 1 species
GACGGACGCUGGCGGCGUGCUUAACUCAUGCAAGUCGAACGGAAAGGCCCUGCUUUUGUGGGGUGCUCGAGUGGCGAACGGGUGAGUAACACGUGAGUAACCUGCCCUUGACUUUGGGAUAACUUCAGGAAACUGGGGCUAAUACCGGAUAGGAGCUCCUGCUGCAUGGUGGGGGUUGGAAAGUUUCGGCGGUUGGGGAUGGACUCGCGGCUUAUCAGCUUGUUGGUGGGGUAGUGGCUUACCAAGGCUUUGACGGGUAGCCGGCCUGAGAGGGUGACCGGCCACAUUGGGACUGAGAUACGGCCCAGACUCCUACGGGAGGCAGCAGUGGGGAAUAUUGCACAAUGGGCGGAAGCCUGAUGCAGCAACGCCGCGUGCGGGAUGACGGCCUUCGGGUUGUAAACCGCUUUCGCCUGUGACGAAGCGUGAGUGACGGUAAUGGGUAAAGAAGCACCGGCUAACUACGUG